rnacentral:tRNA from 1 species
GGAGAAUUGGCCGAGCGGUCGAAGGCGCACGCUUGGAAAGCGUGUAUACCGAAAGGUAUCGGGGGUUCGAAUCCCCUGUUCUCCGCCA